GCCAGGCAUGGUGGCUCAUACCUGUAAUCCCAGCACCUUGGGAGGCUGAGGUGGGUGGAUCACCUGAGGUCAGGAGUUCGAGACCAGCCUGGCCAACAUGGUGAAACCCCAUCUCUA
rnacentral:sRNA from 1 species